rnacentral:rRNA from 1 species
ACGUAGGGGGCAAGCGUUGUCCGGAAUUACUGGGCGUAAAGGGCGUGUAGGCGGAUAUAUAAGUUAGGUGUGAAAACCCAAGGCUUAACCUUGAGACUGCAUCUAAAACUGUAUACCUUGAGGAUGAGAGAGGAAAGUGGAAUUCCUAGUGUAGCGGUGAAAUGCGUAGAUAUUAGGAGGAACACCAGUGGCGAAGGCGACUUUCUGGCUCAUACCUGACGCUGAGGCGCGAAAGCGUGGGGAGCAAACAG